rnacentral:rRNA from 1 species
CGUUCGGGAGGCAGCAGUAGGGAAUCUUCCACAAUGGGCGCAAGCCUGAUGGAGCAACACCGCGUGAGUGAAGAAGGGUUUCGGCUCGUAAAACUCUGUUGUUGAAGAAGAACGUGCGUGAGAGUAACUGUUCACGCAGUGACGGUAUUCAACCAGAAAGUCACGGCUAACUGAUACCAGCAGCCGCGGUAAU